CUACUAUAUAUUUAAUGAUAAUCUAGAUGUUUCCUGCAUACUAUAUAUUUAAUGGUUUACUGGGAACUCUGCAAGUUCUUCAUCUUCUCUGGACAUAUUUCCUCAUCAAGGCAAUUCACAAGGCAAUGACGAAAGGAGGCGUGGACGACAAAAGAUCAGAUUCUGAACCAAGCGAGGACGAAGACGAAAAUGACGAAAAGAAGGACGAUUAAUCUUUUCAAAAUAUUUUGUUUUGUAUAAAUUAUUUGUUAUUUUUUCUCAUGUUUUCUUUUGGGUUCUUAUAAGACUGAAUUGGAGAAGUACUUUUUAAAAUAUGUUGUGCAAAAUUAUUAAAAAUAUUUAUCGACCUUGAAUAUGUUUUCAAGAAAAUGUGCCACAAACUAUCUGUGACUAAACACAUAUCCUGCA